UCCAGACUCCUACGGGAGGCAGCAGCGGGGGAUAUUGCACAAUGGGGGGAACCCUGAUGCAGCGACGCCGCGUGGGUGAAGAAGCGCCUCGGCGCGUAAAGCCCUGUCAGCAGGGAAGAAAAUGACGGUACCUGAAGAAGAAGCCCCGGCUAACUACGUGCCAGCAGCCGCGGUAAUACGUAGGGGGCAAGCGUUAUCCGGAUUUACUGGGUGUAAAGGGCGUGUAGGCGGGAAAGCAAGUCAGAUGUGAAAUCCAUGGGCUCAACCUGUGGCCUGAAUUUGAACCUGUUUUUCUUGAGUACUGGAGAGGCAGACGGAAUUACUGGUGUAGCGGUGAAAUGCGUAGAUAUUAGGAGGAACACCAGUGGCGAAGGCGGUCUGCUGGACAGCAACUGCCGCUGAGGCGCGAAAGCGUGGGGAGCAAACAGGAUUAGAUACCCUCGUAA
rnacentral:rRNA from 1 species